ACUCAGUGAAAUUGAACUCGCUGUGAAGAUGCAGUGUACCCGCGGCAAGACGGAAAGACCCCGUGAACCUUUACUAUAGCUUGACACUGAACAUUGAGCCUUGAUGUGUAGGAUAGGUGGGAGGCUUUGAAGCGUGGACGCCAGUCUGCGUGGAGCCAACCUUGAAAUACCACCCUUUAAUGUUUGAUGUUCUAACGUUGGCCCCUGACCGGGGUUGCGGACAGUGUCUGGUGGGUAGUUUGACUGGGGCGGUCUCCUCCCAAAGCGUAACGGAGGAGCACGAAGGUUAGCUAAUCCUGGUCGGACAUCAGGAGGUUAGUGCAAUGGCAUAAGCUAGCUUGACUGCGAGCGUGACGGCGCGAGCAGGUGCGAAAGCAGGUCAUAGUGAUCCGGUGGUUCUGAAUGGAAGGGCCAUCGCUCAACGGAUAAAAGGUACUCCGGGGAUAACAGGCUGAUACCGCCCAAGAGUUCAUAUCGACGGCGGUGUUUGGCACCUCGAUGUCGGCUCAUCACAUCCUGGGGCUGAAGUAGGUCCCAAGGGUAUGGCUGUUCGCCAUUUAAAGUGGUACGCGAGCUGGGUUUAGAACGUCGUGAGACAGUUCGGUCCCUAUCUGCCGUGGGCGCUGGAGAAUUGAGGGGGGGCUGCUCCUAGUACGAGAGGACCGGAGUGGACGCAUCACUGGUGUUCGGGUUGUCAUGCCAAUGGCACUGCCCGGUAGCUAAAUGCGGAAGAGAUAAGUGCUGAAAGCAUCUAAGCACGAAACUUGCCCCGAGAUGAGUUCUCCCUGAGACUUUAAGUCUCCUGAAGGAACGUUGAAGACGACGACGUUGAUAGGCCGGGUGUGUAAGCGCAGCGAUGCGUUGAGC
rnacentral:rRNA from 1 species